rnacentral:tRNA from 1 species
GGUUACUGGGCUCUUUUUUGUAAGGCAAGGGUCUGCAAAACCCUCAUUCCCCAGUUCAAAUCUGGGUGUCACCUCCA